ACGCCCACCAUAAAAAAAAUCAGAAAACGCCCCAGAAAAAUACCCGAUCCCUUUCCCCUCCCCCUCUCUCUCCCCCCUCUCCCCAUGGCAACGGAGGGUUCCGUCCUCGACCCUGUAAACGCCUGCCCGAUCUCGACCGGCCUCCGCGGAUCCGGCGGCGGCGCCUCCCCUCAUCGGCCCCCACAUCCCCCUCCUCUAUCGCCGUAGAUCCUCGAGCCGAACCCACGGGAUCUCCUCACCUCUCGAGUGCGGUGUACAUAGACGGCAGACAGGAUGAAGCCAGGCAACGGAAGGCAUCGAUCGAGCGCUAACGCAUACGAUUCUUGGCUAAAUAUUGUUAUGAACAUGAUUGUGUUUGUAUAAGAUAGACUAUCAGACCAAAAGUUUACGGUCAUGAAUUUUUGCAAUAAAGAGACAAACGAACGUGAGGGGCUCCUUUGCUGUUCAGAAGAAAAGGUCUCACAACUGUGAACGGGAACAAAAAUGCAUGCUGUUAGAUGCCCUCGAAUCGCCCUUCUCAAAAACCUAGUAGAAUAAGGUGCCCCAACUGUUUGGAAGGUUUUGUGCCUAGAGGUUUACAAGCGGUGCAUAAUGAGAGAGAGAGAGAGAGAGAGAGAGAGAGAGAAUUGGAUGUUGCAAUACUUAUGGUUUUGUAAUAUUAUAUUAAGACUGAAUCUUGCAAUGCCUUGUGAUACCCAGGGAUACAGUGCUGUCUCCUAGUUACUUCAGUUCCAGCAGGUAGAGCCCAGAGCUGUAGGUUUCUAACAGAACAAGUCUUCAAUGGAGUCAAAAUCUACCUC